AUUGAACGCUGGCGGCAUGCCUAACACAUGCAAGUCGAACGGUAACGGGCCUUCGGGUGCCGACGAGUGGCGCACGGGUGCGUAAUACAUCGGAACGUGCCCGAUCGUGGGUUUUAACGGGGCGAAAGCUUGGCUAAUACCCCAUACGAUCUAAGACUGAAUGCGGGGGACCGCAAGGCCUCGUCCGGACGGGCCGGCCGGUGGCAGAUUAGGUAGUUGGUGGGCUAAAGGCUUACCAAGGCGACGAUCGGUAGCUGGUCUGAGAGGAUGAUCAGCCACACUGGGACUGAGACACGGCCCAGACUCCUACGGGAGGCAGCAGUGGGGAAUUUUGGACAAUGGGCGCAAGCCUGAUCCAGCCAUGCCGCGUGCAGGAUGAAGGCCUUCGGGUUGUAAAGUGCUUUUGUUGGGAAAGAAAAGCAUUCUUUUAAUACAGGAGGGUCAUGACGGUACCGUAAGAAUAAGCACCGGCUAACUACGUG
rnacentral:rRNA from 1 species